UUAUAAUUAAUUAUAAUUGAGUUUGGGUCACUUUUGGUUGCUUAGGAUUUUCUAUAGUGAAUGUAUCCCCAGGCAUGCUUUAGUCCUUAGAAGAGGAUGCUGUUUGUGGCUUUUAGGGAGCUUAUCCUAGAUCCCCCCAGAAGCCAAUAGCACAUGCAUCCUCCUGUCUUUCCUGGCAGUGGUCUACUCAAGAGAACUGGGCACUCUGUAGUUUUUGGAAAUCCAGCUUCCUCUUUUUCCCUCUUGCCUUCAGAACAUCCCCUUCCAGGAAUUUCUCCUCUCUACCUUCUGCCUCUGUGAGGUGAGCUACUUUACUACCAUGCCCUUCUGCCAUGAUGUUCUGCCCCAGCACAAACCCAAAAGCUGGCCAGCCAUGGACUGAAACCUCGAAAAUUGUGAGUCAAAGUAAACCUUCCCUCCUUUGAGUUGUUUUCCCUGAGCAUGUUGUCACAGUGAUGAAAAGCGGACUUACACAUUGGGACAGUGUUCCCCAGAGUGACACAUAAGGAAGAAGUGGGACCUUCAGAGCCUCCCUUAGCUCUGAAGAUGCAAGGAUCAUGUGCAUCUUUGGCCAAUCUGAUAGAGAAAAGAAGUUGUUUGAUUUUUCUUUAAACUACAGCAAGAGACACUUCAGUGGGACAAAAGGAGGAACCCCUGGGGUGAAGGCUGCAAAAUGAGCAUUGUGAAAAUUGGGAUGCAACUGGCGAGAGUGCCUCUUCUCAACUGUGUGCCUGUUCAAAGCAAGAAAUUUUGCUUCUGGGUGCUUCUCGAUGCCCUCCUUGCUUGGCUCGUUGCCUCCCUCUUCAGCCACUGGAUGCUCCGGGACAAUCCUUAUCUCACAAUCACACCCACGACAGUGCCAGGACUCCAUCUCACAGUUGGGGAUGACAGCAGCUGGCAGAGGGCACUGUCCUCAACAUGUCCAUGGUGUGACACACCCGGCUCUUUGGCAAAGAUGGCCAUGGGAUGGCUGAGAGCAAAGGCUCAACCCCCAGACCAAAGAUGUUACUGUUGAGAAGAAGGGGAAGCUGUGAAGGUCACCCCUGGGAGCCUUGGCCUGAGAAGGAUCCAGC
rnacentral:lncRNA from 1 species